GCAUUCCCAUGGCUGUUUCAAAGGAUAAGUGCAGAAGGAAGGAUUUUUAUAUCUGGAAAAUGACUGAAGCCGUUAAGAAUUAUUAAAGAUAUUGUCUUACAUUAAAAAACAAAGAAAUCUAUGAUCUGGUUAUAAGGCUUCUUUCUUUACACCUAUAUUUCAGCGAAGUUACUGCUUUACAUUAGUGGGAAAAUUAUUAUAUUUUUUUCCUGUAAUAUUAAAAUAAACAUGAAAAGUAGCUUCAGGAUCUUAGAAUGGCAUUAUAAAUUGCUCAGUGACUUGUUAGACUACUUUUGCUGUAGUCAAUUUACUAUUAUGCAGAUGGAAAUAAAAUUCUUUGUGAGAGACAAUUUAACAUAUCUGAGUUACAGUCUGAUCCUCAGAGGAGGUUGUUUGUAUUUAUUGUUAGUGUAAUUUUUUUCAAAUAAGAGUUGAUUUAGGAGCUGCAGAAUCUUACAGUAUGCACCAGUUACACCUGUUGGAUAAAUUUCUGCGGUGUCUGUUUUUGUAAAGUAAUGCACUUUAAAUAGUAAGCACCAAUUAAUUUUUCCAGUGAUGUGCAAUGUUGCUGUUUUAUCUCUUUAAUAAUUGAUUUGAAAUACUUUCUACAAUAGCCAUAGACCUUUAUAUUUUCAAGAGUUGAAAUGAAUGUACAGUUGAAAUCUAGGGUCUCGAGUGAUUCGUGAGAACAUUAAAGCCAGGUUUGGAAUAAGGAAUAAUGACCCAUAUUCUUUUCUUCCCCAUACGUUAUUUCAUGUCCCAUGCUUAAAGUAUUUUCUUUAUUAUCUGUUGGAAAGCUGAUUUUAUUUUUUUCCCCCAAACCUACAUUCAAGUAGCCUUUAGGUAGCACUGUCAGUAGAGCAUGAAUAUUUAUUUUUUUAUCAUUAAAGUACUGAAACUUUUAAAAUACAGCACCAAAAAUCAUCCCAGUUUCUGACCUUUUAAAGCUGUCUUUUCAUAAUGUAUGGUUUUAAAUUUUGUUAUGAAUCCCUUAACAUCUUAAAUUUUCCAUUGAAAACCUAUGUCUUUAAACAUCCUCCAAUUGGCUUUUGAUAUUCAAAACUAUAGUUUUGGUGUGCUGUACCUGUAGAAUCACCACACUUUUGUUUUCUAAAGUAAAAUGGGUGUUCUUCAAGAAACUAGUCUUACCCCUUCUCUACAAUCAUGGUAAAUUUUGUGAUUGAGUAGGUGUAGAGGCAUUUGGUCUUCAUAGCACAGUGUUUUAUGACAUCUUGACCCAAAAGGGUAAAUGUUGGUAAGGAUUUAAUGCUUAGAUACCUCUGUGAAGAGUCCCUUGCUCUAACUUUUACACAGAUAGCAUGAAUUGCUAGGGAUGGAACAAUUCAGGGAAAAUGUAUAUAUUUAAAUUUUUAUAUUAAAAUGGUGGGAUUCAUAAUACAGCUUUUCAUAAAAGCAAGUGGUCAUGGUUCAACAUAAUGGCUGGUAAAUUGUACUGCAUCCUAUUACAGCUCCAUUUCAAGCGCAGAAUAAACACCUUUCAGUCCUAACUGCCAGGAGGGGUAAGUGCGAGUGUUAGGCCAGCCAGGUUUAUUCAUAGACUGGGCUCUGAGCCUCUGAGAGAGACUCCUGUUCCUAGAUUUACUUUUGGUUUGUAUUUUUUUCCUAGGCAAAUGUUGUGCAAAACAGGGUACAUGUAUGAGUUAAAAAUUGGGAUAUGUAGGAGCAGUAUGGCCAGUAAAUGGAGUUCAGUAUGUUACACUAUACUUAAAUAUUGUUCCGAGGUGGUUUUUUUUUAUUUAAUUAAACAUUAGAGCUGAAACUCUUAUGUCAAGGCGUGCUACUUUCUCUUGUUAAAAAGAACAAAAAUCAUAAGCCUACUCAGCUAUUCAGCAUACAUAUCCCUCCAGUCAAGCUGUUUGUUGGCAGGUUUGAAUUUGAGAGAGAUGUAAAAAUGCAGAGAGUGUUUAGUUAUUUUAAGGUCUGUGAAAUUAAGGUAUUUGAAUUGAAAGUCUGUUUAUUUAAAUGAAUAAAUUGUCACUCAUGAUUGUAGCUUUUGACAAAAUGCUAAUGGGGUAAUACUGUGUUUGAUGCUGCUCCUCUGCUCAACAGCUUCAAGCAGCUUGGAGCCAAAGCCAGCUGUGUAAGACAGGCAUCUGCUAAAAGUUAGUGCUCUUAGUACUAGUUUUGAGUCCUGCCAAGAGCCUCAACUUGCUAAAGGUAGGAACAUUUUUUGUCUAGCUAGAUCCUUGCAACUUCUCUACUGCUCUUUGCAUCUGCUGAUGGUACUGAAUGUUCCCCCCCCCCCCCCUUAAUAAACAUUAUUGCCUGUUUGGUUGAUAUGUAAUACCGUACAGAGGAUGUUUUAUGCUGUAAUUAUUCUGAAGACAUUGUUUCUCUGUAUUGAGGUCCAGUGUCCAGUUAUGUUUCUUGCACUCUAAAGUACAUUAACUUUUUCAUUCUAAUUUAAUAAAUGUAUCAUCUAAAUGAAAGUGUAUUAUGUCUCUGUUGGAAAGCACCACAGUUUUGAGUCUUUGUCCAUAGAAUGAUCUAGAAUUCAGUAUCAGUUACUGUCUUUUAUUCAGUGUUGCACAUUAGUUGACAAAUUACACUGGUUCUUAAUGUGACCAUCCGGUGGGAAUAUAACAGUAAAUACUCAAAAGUAUUUUAAGAGUUCCUCUCCAGGUGGAUACCUCUCUGACUCUUCUGGGUGUUACUUUCUUAAGAAACUAUUAUACCAUUUCAGGUCUAGAGGACAGAACAAGGCAGUAGUGAGGUUGCAUUGUUUGAAGGGCAGCAUUGGAGGGAAACGGAGGAGGGAAGAACAACGUUUGGGUGUGGAAGAAAUGCUGCAAUGUGAAGGACUGAGGACUAUGGAUGAGGGUGGUGUCCAAGUGAAGAGUUAUGAAAUAGACCUUGUUGUUUGCUAUUUCAGCUACAAAAUGAGCUGUCUUUAUCUGCUAAUAUAAGUGAAUUUAGAAGAUUUGGUUUGCACAGCAUCUCUUUCUAAUUCUGUGGUUGCAGAGAUAACUGAGUGACUCUCAACAGCAUUGCUGUACUUAGUGAUUGUGACCUAUGAGUGUAUUAUCAAUUGUGUUCAAAUUGUGCUUUCUUCUAGUCCUGGAGUGUCAGUUUCUGUCCCAAUUUAUCUUGUAAAGCUUACAGUUUGCUUUCACUUUUCUCCAUUGUACUGUGAGAGAUAGGAAGAGUGAGAAUUAGUUUACUUUAAACAGAUGUUGAUGUUUUUGUGGCUGCUGAAGCAUCUAUUUAGCAUUUUAUAUUUUUAUUAUCUUUUUCAUUUCACUGAUAAUCAGCCACUGAUGAUGUGUGUGGGUGUAAAGAUAAAUCAGAGUAUUUUGAAUUAUUAAAACAUUUCAGAACAUCAGUGAGCACAUAGUCCCUAGGAAGAAAUGCAAAUGUGUAUUGUCUUAGAAUAAAUAGGAAAAAUAAAACCCCAUUUUAGCAAUCUUCUCUGCAGUUUUAAGUUGUAGCCUACUGGAGACUUGAGCUUUCUCUUCUGCAUCUUCAGGAAGCUUAGUUAGAAAUGCACAUUGAACAAUUUUCAUACAGCAGCAUAUUUUAGAAGUAUUUACUAUUUUGCCAAAAAGCAUAAUUAAUUUUGUAACAACAAAUAGACUAUAUUUAUAGUAUACCAUAACUUCUGAAGGAAAAUUUUCAUGUAAUUGGGAGAAGUGAAUUUAUGGGAAGCAAGUAGAUUGAAAUUGAUCUUAGGUACGUCUGUGUUUCCGCGUGUGGGAGAACUAUGAAAGUACUGCUGUUUGGCGUAUUGAAAGAGUUCACUUAGAACAUGUUUUUAAAACACCAAGUGUAUUACUCUGGUAUGUGAGGUGGACUAGAUACAAAUGGACAACUUUUAUAAGUUUAAUGUAUUUAUCACUGAAAGAGAAUGAAAGAUGAUUCAGUUUAUUUUAAAAUUAUCUCCAAUUACAAAAUAGUGAGUGAAAAAGCUCAUCUUCCAUGUCUGUGCUGUCCAUGUUUCUUUAUGUAUUAGAUUCAGGAGCUUGACACUGUCACAGGACAAUAUUUUUCUGCCUUAAAUUCAUUAACUCUGUAAUAGUAAUCAUCUUAAUGUGGAGUAUUCAGGUUGAUUUGAAAUGCUUAAUGCUGUUUUUAAAAUUAUUCACGAAGUAGUUAUAAAAGUGAGAGGUUCCUGGCUGGCACACUCUGUGACUACCACACCUUCUCAGGUGCCUUUGUGUGAUAGGUACAAGGCUCUGCAAGUGAACAGUGAUGAGAUUGAUGGUUGGUCUAUGUUGGAGAAGUCACCAAGGUUAAGGUUGCCCUAUGCACUGUAUCAAAACUGCUUCCAGAAAGAAAAAAAGAUGAGUUAUUUUCAUAGGAGACCCUCUUCUGAGGGGAGCAGGCCCACUUCUUAGAGCUUUCCUGGGGCCUGGGUUAGAGAUGUGGUGAGGAAACUUUCAACCCUAGUACAGCCUUUGGAUUAUUAUGCAUUAUAGCUUUUUUAUGUAGGCAGCAAUGAAGUUGCAGUAUGAAGACCAAGAGUUGUCAAAAGAGACUUCAGGGCCUUGGGACAGCUGGUUACUAUGGGAUCUAGAGCAUGAGCAGCGUUCUGCUUUAUCCUUCCAGCUGCAGGGAAUGAUGAGGGAAGAAACAAGAACCAUCAUCCGGCUCCAUGACUGGUAUCACCAUAAAAUUUGGGGUUUUUUGAUCACGAGUCAGUUUACAUGAUGCAAGGCCUGCUGGCAACAGAUGGGGUACAACUGUCUCAAAGAGACAAAAGGAUCUUUGCACAGAGGUGCUGAGCGCUUGUUGAAACAGUUUUAAACUAGAUUGAAGGGGGCAAGGAAUAAAUCCAGGCUUGCUAGAGGUAAACCUGGUGACUACACUCCAGUGUUUGAGGGAUGGAGUGAUAGCAAGGUCCUUCACACCGUGCCAUGGUGUGUGAGUGCACUGGAGCACAUUUGAAUUAUACGGUAAUGCACAUAGCAUAAGGAACAAACAGAAGGAGCUAGAAGUGUUGGGCCACUCCCAGAGCUAUGAGAUCAUUGGCUUAAGCAAAAUCCAGUGGGACGUGUCCUGUGCUGUGCCGUGAUGGAUAGUUACAGGCUCCUCAGGAGGGACAGGCAAGGCAGGCAAAGUGGGGAGUGUGCUGUAUAUAGAGGAGGUUGGACUGUAUAACGCUUACUCUUGGCAAUGACAAGGGGUUGAGAGCCCCUAGUGGUCUUGGGAAUCUGGAAGAGGUCCCAUUCUACUGGAAGCUGGCAAAUGUCCCAGAUUUCAAGAAGACCCUGGUAAUUACAGACCUGUCAGACUCACUUUAGUGCCGGUUAAAAUUAUGGAGAAGGUUA